rnacentral:misc_RNA from 1 species
GGAAGUAAAAGUCUAACAAGGUUUCCGUAGGUGAGCCUGCGGAAGGAUCAUUAUUGUAUAACCGAGGUGCGAGGGCUGUCGCUGACCCGAAAGGUCGUGCACGCCCGAGUGCCCUCACACACAUCCAUCUCACCCCUAUGUGCACCACCGCGUGGGUCCCCCUUUGGCUUGUUCGGAGGGGGGCUUACGUUUUCACACAAACUUUGUAUGCAGUGUAGAAUGUAUUUUUUGUUUUUGCGAUCACGCAAUCAAUACAACUUUCAACAACGGAUCUCUUGGCUCUC